rnacentral:lncRNA from 1 species
CCUUGCCAACCUGGACUCAUAAUUUUUUACUAAUGGACAAAUUACAUUUUGUACUCUUUCACUCUAAUGCAAAAAGAAACAGACACAGAGAGAGAGAUAGAAAUAGUGACAUAAAUGGCCCAGAUAAUGCUAGAAAACCCCAUUUUAUGAGAAACCUUCACAAAAUCAACAGUUUCCAGAUGGUGUUUCAUAGAGAUCUAAGGAGCCAGGUAACAUCCUCUGAAGCAAGGGAAUUAGGAGAUAAAGAGAGGCUGGAGGAGCACAGUGGACGUUCGACCUCAGACUUUGACUUGCCUCAACCUACUUUACAAUUUAGGCCUCAACUAAAGACAAAAUGUGAAGAUGCUUUGGAGAUCGGAAUGAACUGGAAAAGGAAUCAGAAAGAAGAGUUGAGUAAAAUUCUUGGGAAGAUAGAAACUACAUAAUUGAAGAAUAGCUGAAUCCAGAGGGAAUAGCAUCAUUCUCAUGGUUAAGGAUCACAUAAAACUUGCAUGGAAUGAUUAAGUCACCUAAUGACAAGUUUCAGAUUAUUUUCCAGGAAAUAGUGCUCUAGCACCUGAAAAUUCAUACUACACAAAGCUAUUAUAAAUAGGAAUUAGUGAAAUAAUUUUCACAUUUCUUUACCAUUAUGUAAUUUGCAUUCAAUUUAUCUUCAGUGUUAAAAUAAUCUACUUUGACUAAUUAUGGAUUGGCUUGAAGAAGCUGGUGACUUCUUGAAGACAAAAAAGAGAUGAGUACAGUCUGAAGGUUUUGCUUUGUUAGAAUAGAGCUUUUCUGAAUCCCUGUCACCUAUAUUUUUAGUGGUAGAAAAAACAUUAAAAGUUCUCAGGGAUCCCUUUUUUCAGAUGUUAUUGUGCACCAAUAUAACACAGCCAUCAUAGUAAUUUCAGUCUAAUAAAUAGCUUGGGAGUUAAGCCAUACGACAAGGGUACAAUCUAUAGUCCACCAAUUUGAUUUCAUAAACUGAUAAACAGUUUUGCACUGACCUCUCCUCCUUUAUUUUGAAAGUUUAGGGGUUUUUUUUCUGUUGCUGGUUGUUUUAUUUUAUAUUUAACACAUCCAACUUCCUAUACUUGAUUCAUUAUUUUAUUGACUUUUUCAGAGAAAUUUUUCUCUAAUAAAUUCUGGAGCUCUUGAC